rnacentral:rRNA from 1 species
CACGUAGGGCGCAAGCGUUGUCCGGAAUUAUUGGGCGUAAAGAGUUCGUAGGCGGUCUGUUGCGUCCGCUGUGAAAACUCGGGGCUUAACCCCGAGCCUGCAGUGGAUACGGGCAGACUAGAGGUAGGUAGGGGAGAAUGGAAUUCCCGGUGUAGCGGUGAAAUGCGCAGAUAUCGGGAGGAACACCGGUGGCGAAGGCGGUUCUCUGGGCCUUACCUGACGCUGAGGAGCGAAAGCGUGGGGAGCGAACAGG